UUCAUAUUCUUCGCAGAAUUAGUCCCAUGAAACAAACGUCAGAUGCUCUAUAAUUACUCAAAUUGGAACUGAGCUAACAGUGUCUUGUCCUUCAGAUAAUAUCUGAACCUAUGUUUUUUAUGUAAGCUGUUAUUAACAGCUUUGAGCUCAACCAAGUUGCAUAGAGGAAACGAGAGAGACUGAUCUCUUUCCUCUUCAAGCAAGGGCACUUUCAAAGAGAAAAAAAUUAAGACUCAUCCUCUC
rnacentral:misc_RNA from 1 species